rnacentral:misc_RNA from 1 species
UUUCCGUAGGUGAACCUGCGGAAGGAUCAUUAUUGAAACUUCAUCCGGGGCGCCGCGGCCCUCAGCACCGGUGGAAACGCCGUGCUGCGGGGGCCGCGCGUGCACUCGUCCAAACCAAACCCCUGUGAACCUUACGGGAUGGCCCGGGUUAGCGCCCGGUGCCGUUCCGCUUUAUACAAACACUUAUCAAAGAAUGAACGGAAGGCGGUCUGACCGCUGGAUAACAAACUGAAACAACUUUCAACAACGGAUCUCUUGGCUCUC